GGUUAAGCGACUAAGCGUACACGGUGGAUGCCCUGGCAGUCAGAGGCGAUGAAGGACGUGCUAAUCUGCGAAAAGCGCCGGCGAGGUGAUAUGAACCUUUGACCCGGCGAUGUCCGAAUGGGGAAACCCAGUGCAAUUCGUUGCACUAUCGUUAACUGAAUACAUAGGUUAACGAGGCGAACCGGGGGAACUGAAACAUCUAAGUACCCCGAGGAAAAGAAAUCAACCGAGAUUCCCCCAGUAGCGGCGAGCGAACGGGGAGCAGCCCGGAGUCUGAAUCAGCUUGUGUGUUAGUGGAACGGUCUGGAAAGUCCGACGGUACAGGGUGAUAGUCCCGUACACGAAAAUGCACAUGCUGUGAACUCGAAGAGUAGGGCGGGACACGUGGUAUCCUGUCUGAAUAUGGGGGGACCAUCCUCCAAGGCUAAAUACUCCUGACUGACCGAUAGUGAACCAGUACCGUGAGGGAAAGGCGAAAAGAACCCCGGCGAGGGGAGUGAAAAAGAACCUGAAACCGUGUACGUACAAGCAGUGGGAGCACCUUCGGGUGUGACUGCGUACCUUUUGUAUAAUGGGUCAGCGACUUAUAUUCUGUAGCAAGGUUAACCGUAUAGGGGAGCCGAAGGGAAACCGAGUCUUAACUGGGCGUUAAGUUGCAGGGUAUAGACCCGAAACCCGGUGAUCUAGCCAUGGGCAGGUUGAAGGUUGGGUAACACUAACUGGAGGACCGAACCGACUAAUGUUGAAAAAUUAGCGGAUGACCUGUGGCUGGGGGUGAAAGGCCAAUCAAACCGGGAGAUAGCUGGUUCUCCCCGAAAGCUAUUUAGGUAGCGCCUCGUGAACUCAUCUUCGGGGGUAGAGCACUGUUUCGGCUAGGGGGCCAUCCCGGCUUACCAACCCGAUGCAAACUACGAAUACCGAAGAAUGUUAUCACGGGAGACACACGGCGGGUGCUAACGUCCGUCGUGAAGAGGGAAACAACCCAGACCGCCAGCUAAGGUCCCAAAGUCAUGGUUAAGUGGGAAACGAUGUGGGAAGGCACAGACAGCCAGGAUGUUGGCUUAGAAGCAGCCAUCAUUUAAAGAAAGCGUAAUAGCUCACUGGUCGAGUCGGCCUGCGCGGAAGAUGUAACGGGGCUAAACCAUGCACCGAAGCUGCGGCAGCGACACUUAUGUGUUGUUGGGUAGGGGAGCGUUCUGUAAGCCGUUGAAGGUGUGCUGUGAGGCAUGCUGGAGGUAUCAGAAGUGCGAAUGCUGACAUAAGUAACGAUAAAGCGGGUGAAAAGCCCGCUCGCCGGAAGACCAAGGGUUCCUGUCCAACGUUAAUCGGGGCAGGGUGAGUCGACCCCUAAGGCGAGGCCGAAAGGCGUAGUCGAUGGGAAACAGGUUAAUAUUCCUGUACUUGGUGUUACUGCGAAGGGGGGACGGAGAAGGCUAUGUCAGCCGGGCGACGGUUGUCCCGGUUUAAGCAUGUAGGCGGAGGUUCCAGGUAAAUCCGGUACCUUAUUAACGCUGAGGUGUGAUGACGAGGCACUACGGUGCUGAAGUGAUAAAUGCCCUGCUUCCAGGAAAAGCCUCUAAGCAUCAGGUAACACGAAAUCGUACCCCAAACCGACACAGGUGGUCAGGUAGAGAAUACCAAGGCGCUUGAGAGAACUCGGGUGAAGGAACUAGGCAAAAUGGUGCCGUAACUUCGGGAGAAGGCACGCUGAUAUGUAGGUGAAGCCCCUGCGGGCGGAGCUGAAAUCAGUCGAAGAUACCAGCUGGCUGCAACUGUUUAUUAAAAACACAGCACUGUGCAAACACGAAAGUGGACGUAUACGGUGUGACGCCUGCCCGGUGCCGGAAGGUUAAUUGAUGGGGUUAGCGGCAACGCGAAGCUCUUGAUCGAAGCCCCGGUAAACGGCGGCCGUAACUAUAACGGUCCUAAGGUAGCGAAAUUCCUUGUCGGGUAAGUUCCGACCUGCACGAAUGGCGUAAUGAUGGCCAGGCUGUCUCCACCCGAGACUCAGUGAAAUUGAACUCGCUGUGAAGAUGCAGUGUACCCGCGGCAAGACGGAAAGACCCCGUGAACCUUUACUAUAGCUUGACACUGAACACUGGUCCUUGAUGUGUAGGAUAGGUGGGAGGCUUUGAAGCGUGGACGCCAGUCUGCGUGGAGCCGUCCUUGAAAUACCACCCUUUAAUGGCUGGUGUUCUAACGUAGACCCGUGAUCCGGGUUGCGGACAGUGUCUGGUGGGUAGUUUGACUGGGGCGGUCUCCUCCCAAAGAGUAACGGAGGAGCACGAAGGUUGGCUAAUCCUGGUCGGACAUCAGGAGGUUAGUGCAAUGGCAUAAGCCAGCUUGACUGCGAGCGUGACGGCGCGAGCAGGUGCGAAAGCAGGUCAUAGUGAUCCGGUGGUUCUGAAUGGAAGGGCCAUCGCUCAACGGAUAAAAGGUACUCCGGGGAUAACAGGCUGAUACCGCCCAAGAGUUCAUAUCGACGGCGGUGUUUGGCACCUCGAUGUCGGCUCAUCACAUCCUGGGGCUGAAGUAGGUCCCAAGGGUAUGGCUGUUCGCCAUUUAAAGUGGUACGCGAGCUGGGUUUAGAACGUCGUGAGACAGUUCGGUCCCUAUCUGCCGUGGGCGCUGGAGAAUUGAGGGGGGCUGCUCCUAGUACGAGAGGACCGGAGUGGACGCAUCACUGGUGUUCGGGUUGUCAUGCCAAUGGCACUGCCCGGUAGCUAAAUGCGGAAGAGAUAAGUGCUGAAAGCAUCUAAGCACGAAACUUGCCCCGAGAUGAGUUCUCCCUGAGACUUUAAGUCUCCUGAAGGAACGUUGAAGACGACGACGUUGAUAGGUCGGGUGUGUAAGCGCAGCGAUGCGUUGAGCUAACCGAUACUAAUGAACCGUGAGGCUUAACCUU
rnacentral:rRNA from 1 species